ACCCUCUUUGGUAUGUUUUUAGACUUCUAGAAAAGAAAUUAACUUUUGACUGACAUGGAGACAAGAAGCGAGACCAUCAUUUCCUCCCCGUCCUGAGAUGCGUGCCCCACACCACCGAGAAAGUGCCAGAAAAAUCACCAACCGGGUCUUGGGAAGAAAGGCCAUGAAAGAGUAAUGAGGAGGAACGAUCCUUCUGGACUCCAAAGGGCUAUUUAUUCCUGGGAUCCAGCACUGAUCUGGGGAAAAGAACUUAAAUAACUUUGGACCGACAUGGAGAGAAGAAGAGAGAACAUCAUUUCCUCCCUGUCCUGAUAUGUGUGUCCCACACCAUCAAGGAAGUGCCGGGCUCCGAGAUGCCCCCAGGUGAGCAGUCCCAGGAUGACCAGACACCCGCCAUCACCAUCCCCGCAGAAGCCGCCGAGCCACGGAAAGGUGGCCGCCCACCACCCCCUUCCCUCCCUCCCCGCCAGAGGCCACCGACAGAGGGCCAGGCCUUCCUCCGGAGCGACUCCGGGUGGCCUCCGCUCUCAGCGUCCAUCCCGUCGGCCAGGGUGUGGCCGGCCCUCCCGUCUUCAUCGUUCGAUCCCCGGUAUUUAUCCAGCACUAACUACGGGCGGAGCCCCGUACUAAGCUCUCGGGAGAGUCCG